rnacentral:rRNA from 1 species
UAAGGAAUAUUGGUCAAUGGACGCAAGUCUGAACCAGCCAUGCCGCGUGAAGGAUGAAGGUCCUCUGGAUUGUAAACUUCUCUUAUCUGGGACGAAAACGGGAUUUUUAUCUCAAUUGACGGUACCAGAGGAAUAAGCACCGGCUAACUCCGUGCCAGCAGCCGCGGUAAUACGGAGGGUGCGAGCGUUAUCCGGAUUUACUGGGUUUAAAGGGUGCGUAGGUGGGCUUAUAAGUCAGUGGUGAAAUCUCCGAGCUUAACUUGGAAACUGCCGUUGAUACUAUAGGUCUUGAAUUAUCUGGAUGUAAGCGGAAUAUGUCAUGUAGCGGUGAAAUGCUUAGAUAUGACAUAGAACACCAAUUGCGAAGGAAGCUCACUACAUAUAAAUUGACGCUGAGGCACGAAAGCGUGGGGAUCAAACA